UACAGAGGGUGCAAGCGUUGUUCGGAAUUAUUGGGCGUAAAGCGCGUGUAGGCGGCUUGUUAUGUCGGGUGUGAAAGCCCUCAGCUUAACUGAGGAAGUGCGCCCGAAACUGGCAAGCUUGAGUGCCGGAGAGGAUAGCGGAACACCCGGUGUAGAGGUGAAAUUCGUAGAUAUCGGGUAGAACACCAGUGGCGAAGGCGGCUAUCUGGACGGACACUGACGCUGGGACGCGAAAGCGUGGGGAGCAAACAGG
rnacentral:rRNA from 1 species